UACGUAGGGUGCGAGCGUUGUCCGGAUUUAUUGGGCGUAAAGGGCUCGUAGGCGGCGUGUCGCGUCGGGAGUGAAAGCCCGUUGCUUAACGGCGGGUUGGCUUUCGGUACGGGCAUGCUGGAGUGCGGCAGGGGAGACUGGAAUUCCUGGUGUAGCGGUGGAAUGCGCAGAUAUCAGGAGGAACACCGGUGGCGAAGGCGGGUCUCUGGACAUUUCCUGACGCUGAGGCACGAAAGCCAGGGGAGCAAACGGG
rnacentral:rRNA from 1 species